AUGGCUGCUGAUCGGCGCCACCCGGCUGUGAACGACGUGUACCUGACGCUCGUCGGCGCCAGCAACACCCUCGCCGACGUCCAGCGCCGCCUUGACCUCGAGUUCCGUGCCUCCUACCCUGACCACGCAAACCCGGCGAAACUGGUAGGGCGAGUGAAGCGGGUGCAAGAGGAGGUGGCUGCGCUCAAGGAUCUCUGCCGCGACCUCCUCGCCCAGAAGCAGGAGCUGAUCGACAUGAUGCGCACGAGCCUGGCUGCGCAGCGGAGCGCCACGCAACGGCUUCUCGCCUCCUCCGGGCUGCCCCUCAUGACCGACGACGAGGAGGCCGCCUGCGCCAGCCUCAAGCAGGUGAUCGACGAGUGGACUGAUCAGCUGAAGCCAAUGGCAGGGGGUCCGGAUGGGGAGAAUGAAGACACCAACCAGAUCCUCUUCUCCGCAAUCCUUUAG
rnacentral:rRNA from 1 species